CUUUCAGACUGUGGCGCCUGCAGAAGGAGCUGCUGAGCCAAGAGGAAGCCAGGCUUUUGGAAGCCCGUGCUCUGCUGGAAAAGAAGAAGCUACGAAACAUUUUCUGGAUGUGGCAUUCCCAAAGCUUGGAAAUGAAAGAGAUUAUAACAAUGACAACACAAAUCCAAAGAAACUUGGUGUCCCGGUGCUUCAGUACAUGGAAGGAGUCUGUUGAACAGAAGGCACUUGACAGGUGCAACCUGGCCCGUCUCAGAGCAUUAUCACUGAGGAAGCACUUCCAGCAGUGGGUUGAGAUGCUGCAGGUCAGAGGAGGUGAUAAGCAGGCAGUGGUGAACCUCUUCCUCCUACAAUGGAGGCAGCAUUAUGGUGAGCAGGUUGGGGUCUGUGCAGAAUCUCAGCUUUAGAGGUGCUUAGGCUCCUUCCUCUUCUUGUGCACUUGAAAACAGCCUGAAAGCAGAGGGGCUCAGAUAAUACAGGGUAUUAACAAACCAGAGUGGCAGAGGACUGGUUCUGGGUGUGUCAGUGAAGCUACAGGGAGAUUUGUCACUCUGCAUCAUAAACCAAACAUAAACUCUUAAACCUUGCUGAAAAGAAGAAAUUUGAGGAUUGGGCUGGGCUGGGUUGGAAUGCCUCGAGACAAACAAUCUCUUGUUCCUUUAUGUAACUGGUUAAGGAGCAGUUAUGAGCUCAGUAGCUGACAAGACUGUGACAAAGAGGCAUGAAGGUCAGACAUCAUGGACUGGAGAGAGGCAGUUUCUGGAAAAAACAGUCUAUUCUUUUGAUGACUUCUGCCAAAAACUGAAUCUGCAGAGAGUAUAUCUGCUGUGGAAAACAAGGCUGUGUGAGCAUCACAAGGCUGAGUGAGUGCAGAAGAGCCAGUCCCUUGAGCCCUGCCCCAUUAGUAGUGUCCACCUGAUUUUCUGAACCUUUUGCUAGAGCCCAUUUUACCCUAUCUAUUGUCCAUCAUGUCUGUGAUAGUCACCUCCUCUGGUGUUCUUCUGUCAAUUUACUGUCUCAGUAUCUUCUGUCACAGUUCUUUCUCUCAGACUUUGGAGCAGUGUAAACUCAGAAAAACUCUGAAAUUAUGGCACCAAAAGUAUCUCAUGCUGAAGACAAUUGAACAAAGUUCUAAGCACUUGCACAGAGCUGUCUAUGAGGAACCUCUUGCCAUGCUGUUUUCUGAGGACCUCUCAACAUCAUCUGGCUUUGACAGCAGUGCACCAGCUACUCUGACCUCUCAAAGCUCAUUGGAAAGGGAAUGCAGUCUUAGUGACAGCAGCCAGCACAGCUUCUCCUCCCUUCUGACUGCUGAGGAUGUCACACGUCUGUCAUGUCACAGUUCUUUCCUUCAACUCCACCAGUGCACAGAGCUGCCAGCUGAGCUGGGUGGGGUGCUGUGCUUGCAGACCUCCUCCCCUGGAUCUGGAAUAAAUUGGUUUGUGGGAAACCAGUUCCAGUCUUCAGUGCUCCAGAGUCCAGAUAAUAAUUCCCAGCCUCUCACCAGUUAUUCUGCAUGGGAAGAGGGCUGCAGUUCUGACAAGGAGGUGAAGAGUUGCUGGCAGCAAGCAGAGAAAUACUGCCUGCAGAAGUGCUUCAUUGUCUGGUCAGCUCGAACUCAGCAUCGUGUAAAGGCCCAGCAGUACUGCAGGCGCACUCAGCUGUCUCGAGCCUUUCUCAGCUGGCACCACUGGGUCACGGAAAAUAAGAACCAAAAAGCAGCAGCAGCCCUAAAACAUGGAGUUCAUUAUUUCCAGAUGGCUUUCAGCCUGUGGAAAAGGAGACUGGCCCAGAAAGUGGAAGUUGACCGGAGAUUCAAGUGGCACAUUCACCAGAUGACUGCUGAUGCUCUGUGGCGUUGGCAUUCCUGCUGGCAAAGGAAGCAUGCUCUGGGAGAACUGCAGCAGCGAUGGGCUUGGCACAACUGCCAAGAGAAGAAGAGGCUGGUCCUGCAGACGUGGUAUGACCAAACAAAGAAGCAGAAAUAUGCUGGUUUAUUCUGGGAACGUCGUCUCCUGCACAGGUGCCUUGUCACUUGGGCCCAGGUCACUGCUUGUAAACUGAGGCAGCAUGAGGCCCUCUCUUAUCUUAAAAGAGUCAGAGAGCACCGUCUCCUGGUUGUGAGCUUUAUUAAGUGGAGGGACAAACUCUGGAGAGCUGAACAAGUGCCAGGAGGGAGAAACCACAGGAGGCAGGAGCCCUCUCCAGGUAAAGCCUGUCACCGCUGGCGAGUGGCUACAAGAGGACAGCAAGCCCUGCGCCUGGGAUCUGUGGCUACUGUCAAACAAGCCUGCAACUACUGGACCAGAGCAGCUGCUUUUUCCCAGUGCUUACGGCAGCGCAGUACCCUCAUAGGUGUUAGGAAAAGCAGGAAGAUGUCUCUCUCUUGGCCCACAAAAAGCAGAAGAGGUAGAGAAGAAGAUUCAGCACCAACUGAACUUUUUCCCAGUGCCAUUCAGCGCUGGCUGGUGAUCUACAGGAGCCAAAAAAGGGCUGAAAGGUUGUUGGAGAGACCUGAUGUGGUAGGACCCUCUCAUGCACAUGCAAGGAUCCAGGAGAACACAGCAGAGGUGGACUUGGAGGAGCGAGCUAAGAAGUGGCUUGGGAGGAAAUAUCUGAAGAGGCGGCAUCACACAGUGGUACUGCGCCAGUGCCAGCGUGGCAGGAAACUGCUCUGUCUGCCAAGGGGAUGGCAUCAGUGGAGGGAAGCCAGCAGGGUGGUGAUACUGGCUCGGGUGCUGGCCCGGCAGCGGCUGAUAGAAAAGGCCUGGAGGGUGUGGAGACGAAGCUACUUGCAAAGCUGUGUGGUGCAGAAGCUUUUGGAGGAGGAAGCCAGGAGCCUCCUGUCUCAGGUAAGCAGACCUUCUUCAAUUCAGUGGACCUCAGUGGUACAAAAAGAACCCCAAAGGGACA
ensembl:lncRNA